GAUGAACGCUGGCGGCGUGCCUAAUACAUGCAAGUCGAGCGAACGGACGAGAAGCUUGCUUCUCUGAUGUUAGCGGCGGACGGGUGAGUAACACGUGGAUAACCUACCUAUAAGACUGGGAUAACUUCGGGAAACCGGAGCUAAUACCGGAUAAUAUUUUGAACCGCAUGGUUCAAAAGUGAAAGACGGUCUUGCUGUCACUUAUAGAUGGAUCCGCGCUGCAUUAGCUAGUUGGUAAGGUAACGGCUUACCAAGGCAACGAUGCAUAGCCGACCUGAGAGGGUGAUCGGCCACCCUGGAACUGAGACCCGGUCCAGACUCCUACGGGAGGCAGCAGUAGGGAAUCUUCCGCAAUGGGCGAAAGCCUGACGGAGCAACGCCGCGUGAGUGAUGAAGGUCUUCGGAUCGUAAAACUCUGUUAUUAGGGAAGAACAUAUGUGUAAGUAACUGUGCACAUCUUGACGGUACCUAAUCAGAAAGCCACGGCUAACUACGUG
rnacentral:rRNA from 1 species